AACGUAGGAGACAAACGUUAUCCGGAGUUACUGGGCGUAAAGGGCGUGUAGGCGGUACGUUAAGUCUGGCGUGAAAGCUCUCGGCUAAACCGGGAGAGGUCGUUGGAUACUGGCAAACUAGAGGACGGUAGAGGCGUGUGGAAUUCCGGGUGUAGUGGUGAAAUGCGUAGAGAUCCGGAGGAACACCAGUGGCGAAGGCGACACGCUGGGCCGUACCUGACGCUAAAGCGCGACAGCAUGGGGAGCAAACGGG
rnacentral:rRNA from 1 species